rnacentral:rRNA from 1 species
UACGUAGGGGGCAAGCGUUGUCCGGAAUCAUUGGGCGUAAAGAGCGUGUAGGCGGCUUGGUAAGUCCGCUGUGAAAGUCCAGGGCUCAACCCUGGAAUGCCGGUGGAAACUGUCAAGCUAGAGUCCGGAAGAGGCGAGUGGAAUUCCUGGUGUAGCGGUGAAAUGCGCAGAUAUCAGGAGGAACACCAAUGGCGAAGGCAGCUCGCUGGGACGGUACUGACGCUGAGACGCGAAAGCGUGGGGAGCAAACAGG